rnacentral:rRNA from 1 species
UACGUAGGGUGCGAGCGUUAAUCGGAAUUACUGGGCGUAAAGCGUGCGCAGGCGGUUCGCUAAGACCGAUGUGAAAUCCCCGGGCUUAACCUGGGAACUGCAUUGGUGACUGGCGGGCUAGAGUAUGGCAGAGGGGGGGUAGAAUUCCACGUGUAGCAGUGAAAUGCGUAGAGAUGUGGAGGAAUACCGAUGGCGAAGGCAGCCCCCCUGGGCCAAUACUGACGCUCAUGCACGAAAGCGUGGGGGAGCAAAACAGG